rnacentral:rRNA from 1 species
AGUCCAACAACUAGCAGAGUAAAAGAUUUAAUACGCACAUAUACUUAAUUCAUCAAAAACUAACAAAAUUUAAACAAAUCAUUUUUCCGCCUGAGUACAGGAGAUAAAAAAGGUCUUACUAGCGAUAGAAAAAGUACCGCAAGGGAAAGUUGAAAGAGGAGUGAAAUAACUAAGUUAUACAUAAAAAAGCAGAGAUUAGUACUCGUACCUUUUGCAUCAUGAUUUAGCAAGUGUAUAUUAAGCAAAAAGAUUUGUAGUUUAAAUACCCGAAACCAAGUGAGCUACUCCGAGACAACCUUGUUAAAGGGUGAACCCGUCUCUGUGGCAAAAGGGUGGGAAGAGCUCCGAGUAGAGGUGAAAAACCUAUCGAACUUGGUUAUAGCUGGUUACCUGAGAAAUGAAUAGUAGUUCAGCACUAUUAAUUCUUUACCCAACUUGAGAAACCUUAUUCAGGCUUAAAGAAGUAAUAGUAGUUAAUUUAAAGGGGUUCAGCCCUUUAGAUAUAGAAUACAACCUACCUAAUGGAUAAAGAUCAUAUACCCUAAAAGUAUCAUGUUUAAGUGGGCCUAAAAGCAGCCACCUUCCAAGAAAGCGUUAAAGCUCGUACACACAUCACACUAAUUAUACCGAUAACUUAAUCUAAAUCCUUUCUAACUAUCAGGUUACGUUAUUUAAUUUAACAAUAAUAAUGCUAAAAUGAGUAAUAAGGGGCAGAACCCCUCCUUGCACAAGUGUUUAUCGGAUUGAACUACUCGCCGACUCUUAACGUCUUCUAGAAGGAGAAAAAUAGGAAUGUAAAAAACCACUAGAAAAACACCUAAUCAAAUAACGUUGAGCCAACACUGGUGUGCCCACAAGGAAAGACUAAAAGGAAAAGAAGGAACUCGGCAAAUUUAAUCUUUUAAGCCUCGCCUGUUUACCAAAAACAUCGCCUCUUGUAAAUAGCAAAAUAAGAGGUCCCGCCUGCCCGGUGACUUUGUUCAACGGCCGCGGUAUUUUAACCGUGCAAAGGUAGCGUAAUCACUUGUCUUUUAAAUGAAGACCUGUAUGAAAGGCAUCACGAGGGCUUAACUGUCUCCUUUCCCCAGUCAAUUAAAUUGAUCUCCCCGUGCAGAAGCGGGGAUAAAACCAUAAGACGAGAAGACCCUAUGGAGCUUUAAACAUAUCAGGUUUACGUCACAACCCCUCAGUUAAAUGGACGAACUCACUAUACCCCUCGAAAAUGUUUUUGGUUGGGGCGACCGCGGGAAAAUAAUUAACUCCCAUGAAGAGAGGGAACUCACCCCUCAAAGCUAAGACCGCCAAGUCAAAGUCGCAGAAGAUCUGACAAAUGAUCCGGUGUAUACCGAUCAACGAACCGAGUUACCCUAGGGAUAACAGCGCAAUCCCCUUUAAGAGCCCGUAUCGACAAGGGGGUUUACGACCUCGAUGUUGGAUCAGGACAUCCUAAUGGUGCAACCGUUAUUAAGGGUUCGUUUGUUCAACGAUUAAAGUCCUACGUGAUCUGAGUUCAGACCGGAGUAAUCCAGGUCAGUUUCUAUCUAUGAGUUACUUUUUCUAGUACGAAAGGACCGAACAAGUAAGGCCCAUUCUAAAAGUACGCCUUACCCUUACCUGUUGAAAACAAAUAAAACAGGCAAGAGGACUAAAUUUAUUCAGCCUAGAUAUGGUUU